CUGUGUUGUUCAGAAGUUCCCAAUUAGCAUCUUGUCUACAGUUGUGUGUGGGUGUCACCUGGUUCUGGGCUGCCCUGUGAGGCCCCUUGGAGCCUCCUUCCCACUACACUUGUAUAGAAAAGAGCUGCCAGCAUGCUUCCCCUAUGCCCAACACGCCUGAACCUCUUCAUCCUUCUAAAUCGUUUAUUUUCUGUAGCUCAAUCUUCCUAGGGAAUUUACUCCUUCCCCCAACACUCCUCACCCCACUCCCUGUAGAAAACUUCUUUGAGUCUCCUGGAACAGUCUGUGCACUCAUCUAUGCACAACUCUUUACAGUCCUGUAGGUGAUCACUCUGUUUCCUCUGUCUGUGUUUUCUUCUCAGAAAGUCCUUUCAAUCCUUCAUAUGUGCAGACUUGUACUGUCACCCCAACCUGGUUCUAGAAGGUUUCUUGGCUCUUUGGUCUGUGACAUUCCCUUCAUAGUGCCUGUCACAGCAGUGAAGGGGUUGUCGAUUUCAGUAGAUCCGGAAGGGUGAGCUCCAAAGGGAAGGGACAAGGGGGUGAAGCUCUUGUGCAAAUAAGCUCUCAUCUCAUCUUUCUCAGAGAGCAAACUCAGAAACUCAUGCUUCCAUUCUGUUCAGGUGGUGCUCAAAGAAGGUUCGGGACUUGUGGUGGCAGGGAAUUCCUCCGAGUGUGAGAGGCAAAGUAUGGAGCUUGGCCAUUGGCAACGAGUUGAACAUCACCCACGGUGAGUGGCUUGCAUGAUCAUAGGUGUUAAGGUCCAUCUUGGGGUUCUGGGACUCCCUUGUGUCACUUUUGCCAUGUUAGAGAGGAUGGUAACCACUGCCAUGAAGCUGUGGUGGAAAGGCCAGGUGAAUAUGUCUUUUCUGAGAAGGUGCCUGGGUAGUGAGUUCAGUACUGGCUGCUCCACUUUCUGGAGAGGUCAAAGCAGGUUUCCUAUAGAAAAGGACAGCAGACCCAUGGCUCCAAUUCUCAGUGGAGUUGGGUAGGCAGAAUCUCUUCUCAGAGUCAGACAGGAGAGUGGAGGUGGUUAGGUACUUAGGGUACCCUUUGGUGGUUUUUGUGUGUGUGUGUGUGUGUGUGUGUGUGUGUGUGUGUGUGUGUGUGUGUGUGUGUGUGUGUGUGUGUGUGUGUGUGUGCUUUUUCAGCUCUAGAGAUGCUAGGGCUGGUAUCAUUAGGGCAUUAAGCUAGUAUGGGAGGGAGGGAGAGAGGGAGACCCUUUCUUGAAGUUUUUAAGCUGUUUAUCAUGUUUCUCAAUUACUUAGCUCCAUACUAGAGUGGUUGAUUAGAAUAUGCAAAGCCCUGGGUUUAAUCUCUAGUAUUGGAACUUUGAGGAAAAACAAAUGGGCAUGGUGGUAUACACCUGCACUUGAGAGGCCGAGGCUAAAGGGUUGUUGGGAGAUUUAGAACAGUCAGGGCUACAGGGUGAGACCCUGUCUCUAAAGCAAAACAGAUCAUCAAGUCUCUCAAGUGCUUAGCUUUUGUGUGUGCUCUGCCACACCAGCCUCAAUUACUUCUGUCUCUAGUGCCCUGUUGGACUCUGGAUGUCAGAGUUCUAGGAGCACACAGAUCAAACAUGAAGUCUUAAUUCGGGAGAGUCCCAUUUCCUCCUGUUGAAAGUAAGCUGCUCUGGCAGGCAGGCCUUUCUUCUUCAUGUUAUGGUCCUGUGCCUACCUACACAUUGAAGUCAAGCUGCUUUAACUCUGGUAGAGGCGUAAGUUUAAGGCAGAUUGCUUCUGCUUUACUCCUCUAGUUAGGUAUUGUGUUCAUCUUGACAGUGUAGCUUCUCCCAUGACUGUAGCUGUCAGUUAGGUGGUGACUGGUUUUCUUCAAGAAGGAUAACAGGGCAGGAAACCUUCUUCUCCAAACUAUAACACAGAUAAUAAAAACCCAGAGAUAGAUAUUGGGGUUCAAGCUGAAGAUCAGAAAAGCAAAGCAGCCAGCUACUAGCUCUAACCUCUGCCUUAGACCAAAAUGGGUGAUGCUGUCUCCAUGAAUUCUCAGAGUGCAAUCCAAACUGCCCUCCUCUCCACCGAGUCUCAGAGCUCCUGUCUCCUCCCACCUUACAUUCCUCUCUCCGCCCAGAUUUAUCACUUCUGUGUCCACCUCCCUAGUGCUGGGAUUAAAGUUGUAUGAUUCCAAGUGCUGAGAUCACCUUUGUGUGAGCUGUUUCUCUUUUAGACUGAAUCAAUUUUGUGUAGCUCAGUGUAGCCUUGAACUAACAGAGAUCCAUCUGCCUCUAUCUUCUGAGUCCUAGGAUUAAAGGUGCAUGCCACCACUGCCUGGCCACUAUGGCUAGCUAGUAUGGCUGCUGGGAUUAAAGGUGUGUAUCACCACUGUCUGACUCUAUGGCUGUUGCUAGCUUUGUACUUUGAUCUCCAGUACCUUUAUUAAAUCAUAAAUAUUAUAUCACCACACCAAACUCCUUUUCUGGCUAAGUCUAUUCCUGCCAAAAUUUUCACUGUAAGAUCCUUAAAUGAGAAGAUGUGUAAUAUGUGAUUUGAAAUAGAUCUUAGCCUCUCAGAAGAAGAGGUGAGAAGUUGCUGAGCAUACAAAGAUCUGUGUGCUUGAGUCUUCUAAACUCUACCAACAGUUCCUAUAUGGCUAAUUGGAUACAACAUAUAGUGUUUGCAUUUUUAAUUUUUGACUCUCACUGAUGCUUGGGUUUAAUUUACUUAAAUUAAAACCUGUGAUGGAUUAGAUGAAGACAGAUGGGCUAAGCAGCUACCUAAUUGUAUAUACAUCUUGCCCAUUUACCUGUGCCUUGGUACUAGUUCACUCUGUCAUAAAGCAUAUGUCUGUCUGCAGUGAAUGCUGCAUCUUGUGCAUUGCCCCUACUAUAGUGACCUUACUGCACUGUUCUACUCUGUCAUUUGUGCCCAGCCUAAUCUUCUUCACAUGGCAGGUGCCCAUAAAGUAUUUGUUGAGUAAAUAAAUGUACUUUAUGAACUUGCUUCUGACCUCAUUUUACUGUUUCUUCCAGCCAGUCUGAGACAGUGAUCUUGAUCUGUUGGGUGUCAAGCACCAUCUGAGGUUCACUAACUCAUGUCUUAUUCAACAUCAGCUGUGAUGGUCUCAGGCAGAUCUUGGGGGCCUCAUUUUCUUGAAAAGGUUAGGCACUGUGCCCUGUAUCUGUGGCUAGUAUGUGUGGGAUCAAGGUUCUCUUUCCACUUCUGGCUGGUUCUGAAGUUCAUGUUCUGACUUGGGAAGACCCAGAGUUUUAUUCUUUUUGUGGUUGUAGAACUGGUAACUUACUAAGCUUGGAACAGGCUUUGUGCUCCUGUUUAUAUUUCAGCACUAGGGGCAGGGAUUGGUUUGACAACAACAAAAUCCAAUAACAAACAACAUCAACUCCCCCUGAUAUACACACAACAUCCACAUAAAACAAAACACCCAAGCCUUACUCCCAGGGAAGAUAGGCUUGUACUUUGAAAUUGGGGCUGGUGGCCUGGUCCCAUGACUUACCAGGUAAAGGCACUUACCAUGCAAACCUAGUGAUCUAAAUUUAAUCCCUGAAACCCAUAUGAAUGUAGAGGGAGAGAACUCACUCCACAGAGUAUGCUGUGUCACAUGUGUGUCCCCCUCCCCAUCAUACACAUGUGAUACACAUUAGUAAGUAGAAUUUUAAAAUGAGGUUGGAGGUGGGGUCCUGAGAUAAAAGUAUAUUCAUUCUGCUCUAUCUGCUAUACAUGCUGACAGUAAAACUGGAGGAGAUUCUGUGAGCUCAGACAUGGACUCUUUAUUCCUGGGUGGCCAGUUUCUGCUUCUAGCUAUCAAGUUCUUCACUUGUGAUGUGGAACCCUGAUGGUCACAUGCCAUGCAGUUGUUUUGUGUUCCUCCUCUGAAAAUGACAAAAAUGUUUUGAACCAAACCCUAAUCUUAGAUUCCAAGCCUGACUUGUCCACUAAGGAAGUCUUAAUAGUCUGAUUAGGUUUAGUUGCAGCAGGAAAUUUCCAGUUGUUCAGCUUUUUAAAAGAACAAAGCUGAGGCUUCCCAAAUAAGAACAUGCCCACCUCCUGGAAGUUGAGUGGGCAGAGGUCCCAGUGCAUACUGUGGCCCCCAGCCCUGGACACCUUGUGUUUCUUUUGGAUAACAAUGAUACUAAGUUGUAUGUCAUAACUGUGCCCUUUGCCAUGCAUGGCACACAAGCAUAGGUUGUAUGCAUAUUAGAGCUGUCAGAAGGCCAGAAUGGGAUCAUUAGUCAAGAUAUUACUUGCUGGAUUAUAAUAAUGUCAGUAGAAUGAGUUACACUUAGUAAAAUACACUUAGUAAAGGCAUCUGUGCUUGGCUUUACCCUGCAGAGUAAAUGAGGAAAAAGGUAAAGUGGUAAACACUCUGCUGUAGCCUCAGUGAAAGACAGUGAUUUGUCAGCAUUCCUCAGAUAGAGUAUGGGAGCUGGGAAUCAUACAUGCCAGAGGUACAGGGAGUGGGGGUGGUGGAGGAGCUGGGGCACGGAGAGACAAACCCAAUGCAUGAGACAUGGGUGUACCCAGGAGGUCUGUGUGUGCUGUUGAGUCAUGAGCAUGGCUUGUGCUCCAGUGGCCCAGUUUGUCAGUGUGUAAUAGUUAUUUGGAAGCUGAAGUUAUCUGACUUAUUAGUAAACUACCUGGGAAGCAGGCUACUAAAACACAGGUUCUGAAUAAGGAAGAGAUUUGGAGACUUAUGACACUUCUCUGACGGCAAGAAUCCUUGUUCUUUGAGAGCUCUGCCUGUUCAGGGUACCAAUUCCCACUCCCAACCCCCUUCCAGUAACAAGAUGAGGAAUUAUGUGCCAUAUGGGUAGCAAGCUCCUCAUGUACUUAUUUGAAGAUGGUGCUCAUCUUAAUCCCAGAAGUAAUAGUUCUGAAAGUUAAAAUUCUGAAUAUUGAAAUCCUGGAAACUGAAUUUCAAAAACAAUUCCCAUGGAGAAAAGGCUACAUGAGAAGACCAAAUUUCUCUGGAAGGAUUGAUCAUGCAAAGCAGCAGGGUCUAAAAUGCCAGUUUUUAAAAACAAACAAACAAACAACAAAAACUAUUUGUCUGCGGUGUUGUUUCUCCAAGCUAAUGACAUUCAGUAGCUUUUCAGGAACUCAAGCAGCAUUUGCCUGAAGAAGUCAGCAGUUACCUACUGGUUGAAAAUAAUUAUAUGGCAUACUUCUAGAAGCUGGCAGCAGUUUUAUAGGCUAAUCACUGGAACUGCUUCUGCAGCUUCUGCUACUAUGAUUUGUUGAAUGCAAGUGGAAUGCGUGCCGGAAGUAUGGUGCAGGAGGCCAGGCAGCACGUGUCACAGGGAACAGUCAUGUCUGUGUAUGGUGAAUCCUAGAGGAAUUUAGAAAAUGAACAUGGAUGUGUCCCCAAGUAGAACCAGGGCCUAACGGAAAGAGCAGCUUGGUGUACUGUGUCAGCCAUUGUGGGCUACCUUCAUGGAGCGGCCCAUAUUCUACCCCUGUAAAAUGGUUUCCUGUAUAAAAUGUCCUUUACUCUAUUUUGUUUUUAAGCCAUCACCCUCCCAAAUUGUCAGCAUUUUUUGCAGUUUGUUAUGCUAUGUGUGUGUCUCUGUGUGUUUUAAGAUUGUACUUGUUUUUUUUUUUUUUUUAAUUUUGUGGGUAUGGUGUUUUGCUUGCAUAUAUGUCUGUGUACUACGUGUGUGCAGUGCCUGCAGAUGCCAGACAGGGUGUUAGAUCCCCUGGAACUGGAGCUAACAGAUGGUUGAGCCACAGUGGUGCUGAGAAUUGAACCAAGGUCCCCCAGUGCUCUUUAGAUUGCCCCAAUUCAUUUUAUGCAUUUUUUUCAGAUCCUGCUAUAUGAAUGUGUGUUACUACGAUGUUGAUUGGGUAUGUGCAGAUUGGACAUCUGCAUUUGUAGAACAGUCUUUGAAGUCUGGGCUCUUUGGGUGACUAUAUGUGCAAUGGUAACCUAUCUUAGUUUUGACAAAGAUUUAGGUUGUCUGACCCAGUGUUUCACAUGGCCACUUAGGAAUCUUGGUGCACAGUUUAUGAACCAUAAUGAUAGUUGUUCAUACACUUUGCUUUUCAGCAUAUUUCUGUGUGUAUAGGUCACCUGCUUGUGAUUUAGGCAUAUAAUGUAUUUUAUUCACUGUGAUGCACAUGAAAUAUUCUGUUGUUUUUAUGUUUCUCAAAUCCCCUUCUUGAUGUAAGUAAAUGUCUUUAAUUUUUUUUUAAUUAUAUUUUUAGGGUUUUAGAUUUUUAAGGAUUUCAGCAUUUAGGAUUAAAACAUUUGGGGUUGUCUUUGGAGAUUAUGAUUCAAACCAAUUAGAAACCAGUUGGACUCUGUCCACCCAUCCCUUAGUCCAUAGAUGAGCUACUGAUUGGUCUCUUCAAUCCCCAGGGCAUUUGGUCUGGAUACAGAGGUAAGCAAAAGACUUUGACCAUCCAAGAAAGUCAGAGCAAGAUAUGAAUAAGUAGCUGCAUAGCAGAGGAAGGCACUGAAUACUGUGGCAGUGUUGGUGCUCUUUCUUUGUAAGUGGCUGUCUUUAGGCAGGGUACUUUCAGGCUAAGCUGGAGGAGUUGUUGGAAGAGUACCUUACUCUGUCUUGGUUAAGGAUAUAGUUGUGUUUUCUUCUCUGGUGUUGGUAAAGGAACAUGUACAAGUAAGACUCACCAGAGGCUUUUCUUUCAGAGCUCUUUGACAUCUGUCUUGCUCGGGCCAAGGAGCGGUGGCGGUCCCUUAGCACGGGAGGCUCAGAAGUGGAGAAUGAAGAUGCUGGGUUUUCAGCAGCAGACAGAGAGGCCAGUCUGGAGCUUAUUAAACUGGACAUUUCUAGAACAUUUCCUAAUCUCUGCAUUUUCCAGCAAGUAAGUAGUGGGGAUUUGUCACAAGUGUUCUCUGUUUAAGUUUUAGGACUGCUGAGCCACAUGUAUUUGUAGUCCUGUUUGAAAGGCUAGAUAGGGUUUUGGUAGGAAAUUAAGUGGGUGUCACUGACAGUGCAUUUAGAUAUUUAAAAUCAAUGUAACUUGUUCUUAUUGAUCAUAUAUAUAUAUAUGCUUUAAAGGUGAUUGGUUCAUUGUGCAUGCCAGAACCUCAGUAGACAGUGCGGAGGGCUUACCAGGAGGUAUGGGGAAUGGACUCUUGUUUUUCUGGAUGUUAGUGGAGCAAGAGAGGCCUCCCCUCAGUCAUUUGGGCACUGACUAGAAUGUCUGGCAGUAGAUCUUAGAAUCCUCUCUCAAGGCGUUGUGUUCUUUGAGCCAAGAGAUGUACGCCCAGAGUUCUCCUUUGAGACAUUCCUCCUGCAAGCUAACAGUAUCACCAGCUGUCUUCCACAAUAUUUCUACACCUUUCCCUUUUUAGUGCUCACUGCUUUAUUUGAGAGCCUAGCCAUUCAUUGUAGGUCACCACAGCAGCCCGCCCCCCACCUCUCCUGGCUGCCCUGCCUCCUUCUACUCACCUCCUUGCCUGCUGAUCAGUAUUGGAAUUUCCAGUUAUGCACCAUGAUUCCCAGUUUGUUAACAUGGUUUACACAUGGUGGCUUACUGGGAAAAGGUGGUGUAACAAACUGGGAUAAGUUGUUUAAGUGGCUGCAGAAUGAACAGGCCCAGAGCAUUGAGUUUAGGUGGGCUUGGGAGGAAUGUGGUUGGGCUGGACAAUCUGACAGCACAGGAGAGUCAGUGUCCCCUUCUGGAGUAUGGAACAUCAGAGGUCACAGAGUAAACAGUCUUUUCUGUGCAUGUACUAGGUUUAAUUAAUAUAGUCUUGCAGAGAGCAUGUGCUUGGUAGAAGCACAACUGGGACAGAAAUGUUGGGACCCUGUUCCUGUGCAAGAAUGAGUGUAGACGACACAGUUGUCCCUGCAACCUCUUUAGAGGGUUUCUCUGUUCUGGUGGAUGCAGAACUGGUAAGGACUGCUUCUAUGCUAGAGCAGAGUAUGUUGAGGUCAGAGUUCUGGGACUCUGAUUUGUGGCUGAGAAUCAGGCAGCUAGGAGGACGUGGCCAGGCAUCAGGCCAGGCUUCAAGGGUAGCCUGAGUACUGUGGGUGCUUAGUGAGGGAGGGUCAAGAGAAGGCUUUGGGUUCCAGUGACAGGGUUGUUGCUGUCUCAGUGAUUCCACAAAGCAGGGUCUCAAUGUCUAGCUGUGGAGGAUCUUAAUUCAGCUGGAAAUGUUUGCAUUUAAGUUUUUAGGACUCUUUCAGUCAAGGCAAGGGAAAAAGUCUAUAAAGCUGUCCAGAAGUUUGGUCUAGUGUCUAGCCUGGACCAUAAGCCCUGGGAGUAUUGCCCAGCUUGGUGGCAUGUGUAGACUCAGCUGGGAAGCAUCUUCAGCAUAGUCCUUUCUCACUUAGAAGGAUUGUCUUUCUCCUCUCAGCACACUUCUGUAGGCUCACACCAAACCUUGUAGGCUCACACCAAACCUUGUAGCUCACUCCCUGGUUAUCUCCUUAGAGGCCUUCUGCUUGUUGAAACUUGGGUCUUUCCACCUAAGUGGGACUCCUGUGACUCAGCUCUGAAGGGGCUUAGGCAGUGCUGCUUUAUGAAGGGGGUUAACUUUGGUCUCAGAGAUUUGGGUUUCGUUCUGAUCAGUUGCCUUCUUGUUAGUAGUUUGGCCUCAGGUAAAACAUUUGAUCUCUUUGCCCCCAAAUCUGUUCAUCUGUGAUUGGGGAUGAUCUAUGCAUCCUUAAAGCUUUGUUCAUAGUACUUGACUCACAGAGGGAAGCCAUCAGUACUAUACUGUUAAUUAUCUUUGACUGUAUUUGAAACUAAAUGACAGUGGGAUCCACCCAAGACUAAAGGUUUUUCACUUCAAGCAGCCCAGAAGUGGGGACAUGGGAGUCUUCAGAUGGAGCUCAUGGUGCCUGAUCUCUUGACUGUCAGGGAGAAGCUCUGUACUCUUUCUCAUUGGCAGAAGUGAAACCAUAGAUUUUACAAGGAAGCAAGUAGGACCAAGAGCAUGGCAGGGCAGGCUUCCCGUAAUGUUUCUGAAGGUCCUGCUGUGCUGAUGGCCAAACCUCAGGGUCAUGGAGCCUGUGAAGGCUCUGCAGAGGCUGAGGCUCAACUUUGCAUUACUGAGUCUGAGAGGGCGUCUCCUGAAACAUGGUCCCUAAAUGCUGCUUCAGAAAUGUUGAAAUGGAGGGUUCCUUGGUGCUUACUUGGGAGCAGAGGGUGAACUCUAAAGAGAGAGGACAUGUACGCUCUGUGGUCCUUUCUGGGUAGGUUGUUCUCUCAGGAUUCCUUUGAGACUUACGUGGUCAGUGGUUUAUAGUCUUGGGAACGGAUAAUAUGAAAUAUAAAGGCUGAGGAGAGAACUUGAGAAUCCAGCACAAGUGAAGGGCACUCAGGACAAGGAGCUGGCACCAAUAUGAGGGGAUGGAAUGACAAGGUGGAAAAUCCUUUAAGGAAAAAACAGUAUAGUUUUUCUUAGUCUCAGAUCACAUAGAAUCUCUUUGCAGUCACGCUAGUCAUCGAGUCAGCUCAUGGAUCUGCCACCACUGUCCACAGCCCUGUAUUUUGCCUUCCCCACCCCUAUUGUAUUUUCUUUAUUUGGCUCUUUGUGCUUUGCAAAUGUCUCUUUGAUAUAGCUUUUUUAAAUAGAUGAGAGUGUAAUGGUCUCUACUGGGAGUUGUGGCAUAUACUUGUAAUUUCUAUACUUAAGAGGUUGAGGUAGGGAUUUGGCUAUUCUUGGCUAUACAGUGAGACCCUAUCACCAACCAACUAACCACUCAACCAACCAAAUAAAAAAAGAAAAUGUGAUCACUGGUCUCUGUCAUUCCUUUGUAAGCUACCCAUAGGCACCUGUGGAGUGACUUCCUAGUCAUAUAUGCCAGAAAGGAUAUUUAGUCUUGUGUUAUAUGAAGGCAUGUGGUAGAUGGAGGCACUAGGAACUUCAUUUAGGUCCAGCUAGUUCCUUUAGAGUAUCUCUGGUACACUAGUAACAUCAGUGUGGGACAGCUCUGGUUUUAUCUCCUUGUUGCAAGAGCAAAUGGGAGUCUUGGCAGGUAGGAGGGCUGGGAGAGCACUUGAAAUGAAAUGGAAUCUACUAGGAGCUUUCCAAACCUGCUGUUUAGAAAAAAUGCAGAGGAAACAGAGUGAUGGGCAAAAGAGAGGCAGGAUGAACCAUACUUGUUGUGGGCACAAGGCUAAGUCUCAGCAGUCUUGUCACUUGCCCUGAGGAAUCUUGGCCAUCUGGUUUACCUACUGAACUUGGAAUAGAGCAUGAUUCUAUAACAUGAGCCAAAGGAAAGACAUUUCUCGAGGAUAUUGCUCACAGCUGACCCUUUAGCUUUUCUAGAGUAGCUUCAUAGACAGAACUGUAGAUUUUUCAUUAACAAGUUACUAGCUCAUUUAUUAAAUUGCAUAAUGCAUCUAGAGCUGCUCAGCAAAGCCCCUCCUGUAUGAUCAGCAGGAUGACAAUGGUGACAGUAGCAACAAUGGUAUUAGAUGAUAUUUUAAGACUAACAAUACUUAUGCAUGUGUUGAUUUUGGUAUGUCAAUCCUUUUAGGGUGGUCCAUAUCAUGACAUGUUGCACAGUAUUUUGGGCGCUUAUACUUGUUAUCGGCCGGAUGUGGGUUAUGUAAGUGAUGCUUUCCAGUUUUUUAUGAUGUUAUGGUCUAUAAAGAAAGUCAAAACAUUGCCCAGUUCUCAUAUUGAAUGCUGUUGUGGCCUUUUGAAGAAUAUGAAAAAUCUUGAGAUAAAUGGGUUGAUUCAGUUUCCUUGGAGAAAUUGGCUUGACAUGGCUAUUCUGUGGCAUUCAUCACAUUUUAACUAGGGUGUGAUGUUUAUUUUUUGCAUGUAAUUUACCCCCAAAAUUAAAUAGAGAAGGCUUUACACUUAACCAUUUUUCAAAAGUGUGCUGCUACUAUACCUGUGGCUAAACAAGAUGUGUAUGUAUGUACAGUCUUACUUAAGCCUACUAAGUUCAUACAUGUGACCACAACCCAGCAUGGCACACACCAGAUGGCAUUAUUUCAGAUGUCAAAGGCCUAAAGUGGGGUUGGCUUAUGAUUUUCCAUUAGAAGGGGUAGAGGACAAAGGGAAAGAGCAGGUGGCCGAUAGGCAGAGCUGUGUGGCUCUGAGGAGGGUGGGUCUGAUAUAACAGGGUUUAUUUAGGGAAUGAAUGGGUGGCUGUGAGGGCCUUUUUAGUGGGAAGGUGUUUUGGUUCCUCUUAGUUAGAGCUGCUCUGACUUUUGUGGCCACAUUAGUUAACAUAACCUUUCUCUCCUUCCUCAGGUUCAGGGCAUGUCCUUUAUAGCUGCAGUUUUGAUCUUGAACCUAGAUACUGCAGAUGCCUUUAUUGCUUUUUCUAACCUUUUGAAUAAACCCUGUCAAAUGGCAUUUUUCCGAGUGGACCAUGGCCUUGUGAGUAUGCUCUAUGUAUGUCCCAGUACCAUGUCUUUAUGCAGCAAGAACUACCCAAUCAUUCUGUCUUUUCAAGGCAGAAAAUGCAUAGUGGACUGUUUGUAAUGAAAAACACAUGAACUUAAGUACAGAAACAUAUAGUCCAUUGCCCCUUGAAUGAACAGAUUAAUGCAUUUUCUGAGAGAGACAUUGUAUCUGAAAUGCUGUACUCUUUCAAUGGCGGUGGAGCAUGCGUUCUUUGCAAGUAUAUGCACUUUGUGUUAGGGAGAUGUAACAGCAGUGCCCUCCUUAGUUGAAUAGAACACCUGAGGGCUGAUGUGUGCUGCUGCUCACUGUCUCCGAGGGACUCUGCUCUGUGCAACACAUGCAGACACAGGAGGAAGGAGAUGUGCUCCUGACCAUAUUCCCUUACUUUGAUAAGGCAGUGGUUUAGUGUGCUGUGUAGAUGGCCUUUACCAUUGGUGGCCUUUAAGAGACCCCCCCACAUAUUUCACAGCUGAGUCCCUGCAUUGUUCAGAUGUGGAAACAGACUGAAGAGGGAAGUGGCUUGUCCAAGACAUGUCUGGUACAUGGGAGAGCUGAGGUUUGAAUCCAUUCUGGGUCCUAAACUUUGUUUUUACUGGAAGAAAACUCACUAUUCCAUCAGCUUUUGAGUUGGUGUUGCUUUGAUUUCCUGGUCAUUAAUACUAGUCUAUCAAGACCUCAACUAUCUGAUGGUAUAUGUCAGCUUGGAGCCCUUCUUCCUAAAAUGUCUUCAGAAUCCCAGUAGUUUUUGUUCUGAAGCUGCUGCUGUCUCUGGCUUUAAGGGAGUAUCAGCUGUUAGGGUCCUUCAGGAAGAUUAUUUGGUAUUCCAUUUCUGUAGCUCAAAGUGGCUUUGGUACAAAGUUCUUGUAAGAAUUGGUUCUGAAACCUGGUGGCAGUAGCACAUGCCUUUAAUCCCAGCACUUGGGAGGCAGAGGCAGGUGGAUCUCAGUGAGUUCAAGGCCAGCCUGGUCUACAAAGUGAGUUCCAGGAUAGCCAGGACUGUUACACAGAGAAACCAUGUCUCGAAAAACAAAAACAAAAGUUGGUUCUGAGAAAAAUCAUAUUUGUAAACAAAGCAGUAUGCAUAGAUUGUUAUUAUAUAAUUAUUUAUAAUUGUAAAUAUGAAAAGGGUUUAAAAUGGGGUUGGGGAAAUGGGGUGGUAAAUGAAAUCUGCCAAGACCCUUAGUACAGCAGUGACUCACUGCUGUGUAAGGAGUGUGAGAUAGAACUAGUACAGCAGUCACUCUGUGUAACACUGUUAAACAGGGGAUAUACCUCAAAGCAGUAGCAGUUAUGGACAGGCACUUCAUGAAUAGUAUUUUUGUCAUUUUUUUGUUUCAUAUUUUGAGGCCUGGUCUCACUGUGUAGCCCAGGCUAGCCUUAAACUCCUGUUCCUCUGCCAUAGCCUCCUAACUGCUAGGAUUACAGGGAAUCCCACAGGCUUGGCUUGUUGCUUCUGUGCUAAGUUUUCGUCACUGAGCAGUAUAGGGACCCUUUCAUAAGCAGAUAAGAACUUUUCAAGAGAAGAGUGAAAUCUUUAGGAGAGAUUCUCACCCUUGACAGCUUGUUGCAACUAACAUACUGACUUUAUAUUGCCUGUGUAUUAGUCCUAGGAGGUAGUUCCUGAAUGUCAACUUAAAUUUGCUUUGUUUUGGCUGAUAACCCAGCUGGCCCUGAAUUCAUAAGCCUACUGUUUCAGCCUCCUGACUGCUGGGGUUAUAGUUGUGUGCUACCAUGUUGAUCUUUAAUUUUCUCUUUCUAUAUUUAGAAAGAUGGUACUGUUUUCUGCUAAUUUUGAAGACCCCAGCUUUCUGUCUUUAAUAUGGAGUGAGGAAAGGGAGAAGUAGCAUUGCAGUGUUGAGUGGGACCUUUGCUCUGGGCAGCACUGACAAGCUUUAGGCUAGAUGACUGCUGUAGGGGUUCCUGCUCAUUGAAGGCCUCCGCAUACUAACGCUACGCCUUCCCACACAUGUCCCUAGACAUUGCCUCAUGUCCUGUGGUUUACAGUGUAGUCCCUUCAUGAAAAUGAGUAAAAGAAAUCAGAGUUGGGUUCUGCCUCUGCACUUGGUGGAUGAUCAGUAGAGAAGACUCGCCACCCCAAGGCAUGGUUGCUCCCAUCCAGCAGGAGCUCUUCUUCCUUCAUAUUGAUUGCUUCAUGAUGUCUCUCCUCCCACCCUGCUUUCUUACAAAGCUUUUAAGAACCUGGCCUGUUGCUGCCUCCUUCUUGUAGUGUCUUCAUUUGCUGUGAUCAAAGGCCUACAUGUUUAAGCAGGAGCUGUGUUGCCCUUCCCUCAGACUCUAGUCUUGUCUCUUUCUCUGUGAAUGCACUAGGCAUGGGCAGCAGGCAGCUUGCUUUUCCAGGUUAUCUCUCACAAUGCGGCUCCAACCUCCAUAGCAUUACAGGCCGUGGUUCAAGUCCCAGCUCUAUCAUGUACCGGUUCUUUGCCCCUGUGUGGCAAGUUAAGCAAUUGCUCUGGGUUUCAGUGUCUUCCCCCUGUAACUCGAAGAAAUGAUAGGAUGUAAACAGAACUGCUGUGAGAUGCUUAGAGAUAGUAUUAUGCUUAUCUACAUGUUACCUACCUGGAUAACAAUUAUUAGAUUCAAAGUGCAAGACUCUUGACUCUUGUGGAUUGGAAACUGCAUACUGAUAAUUAGUUUACUAGUGUAUUUAACAUUGUCUCCCUAGAUGUUGACUUACUUUGCUGCAUUUGAGGUAUUCUUUGAAGAAAACUUGCCGAAAUUGUUUGCGCAUUUCAAGAAAAACAACUUAACUGCAGACAUCUACCUAAUUGAUUGGUAAGACUCAGCUUUUUUGCUUUCCAGAGCAAUUCUCAUCCCUUGCCCGUUUUCCUGUUGUCACUGUCGCUUUCUUGGAGGACUCAGCUGAGUCUCCUUGUCCUGCUUCCCAGCUCCCCUCUGCCUUGAAUGACUAUUUUUUUUUUUUUCCAGGCUCUUUGUCACAGUAUGUGACUUGACUGACCUUCUAGACUCCCUCAAUAGACAGUGUAUUAGACCUUCUGUUUUUAAGGCACUAUUGCCAAUCCAUUAAAUGAGAUGUCUCUGGGCAGCAAGUGCAUUCCACACCUUUUACUAGAAGUCCACUGAUGUAAUAUAGGAGCUUGAGUAAGUGUGGAAGGGAGAAGCAUCAUGUGAGUUUCAGAACUUGAGUCACUGUGCUGCCAAGUAGGAGAGACUGAGAUAGAAAGGGAGAACUCCCAACCUAGGAUGAUGGGGUGUGGGAAACAGCAUAUAGGUGCCUCAAUAAGCCAGAGCAUAGCAGCUGGGCUGGUGGCAUUGGGGGGCAUCAUAAAAGGCUGAGGAUAAAGGUGGGGAGUUUGAGAAAUCAGAACAUCUGAGUCUCAGAGGCCAAGCUGUGGGCCACAGAAGAUGACUGACAGCCUGUGCUUGUUGUAUAAGUCGGCUCCAACAGCUUGAGAGGUAGGAGCUCCUGGGUGAGAGCUCAAUGAAGGAAAGCAAGGCCUGAUGGAAAUUAGGGAGAAGAGUCAUUGACAGAUCCUAGGAAUGUGUUGUGGACUUGCCAGGGGAUCAUGGUGUUUGUGAUAGUACUGAUGAGGGAUUGCUGGUGUCAGUGGCUGAUAUCUGAAACACAGAGGGAUAGAUUUGACUUUGAGCAUGAAGAUUUUAUGAGAGAUCUAAAUAGAAGUUUCCUGAGACCUGUAAGGAGGAGGCUCCAGAAUUGUGAACUGGAACAGUAGAUCAGUUACAUCUCUGCACAGAAGUAGUUGUGGUCAUAAGGAGAGGGUGGCUGUCACCUUCAAGUGCACCAGGUUGAGGGCCAGGUAAGGGACCUGGAGACCUGAGUUCUGCAAGGAACAGUUGUCAUGUGGUAGAAGAGUGGGCUUCAUGACCCCUGUGCCCUAGCCAGGCAUGAUGUACUGUGUUACCAUCUAUACAGGCCAGGGAACUCCUCUAAUUGUGCUCCCACAGAGACCAUGGUAGUUGACUGUUUAAAGCAUUUCAGGGUGACUACUCUGUCUUGGAGAAGGGGCUUUUUGUGGGGGAGAGAUGUCAUUUGGCCAAAAGGUACAUCUGGACAGCAACACUACCUCAGAGAGGUAAAAUAAACUUCCUCCACCACCCUGGACAGAGAACUGGAUUGGGUUUCUUCUCACUUUCUUCAUUAAACAAAAGGACUUCUAGAUGAUAAAUAAGUAUUGUCCAAGCCUAGGGCAAAUCAUUGAGUAGAGAAGACCUGUCUAUAUCCUUGGGAAUGAGUGUCAGAUAUCCAUUGUGUUGCUUCUGCCUUAAGCUGGUGACUGGUUCAGCUGACUGCAUGUAUGAGGGUUUGAACUUGUAGCUGAAGUCACUGGAGCUGAUGGAAGCACCAGGCUUAGAUGGGAAAGCUCAGCUGUCCUGUCUGCUUGUGCUAUGUAUAAAUGUUUGGAAUAUCCUUUUAAAGGGUUACCUUUGUUUAACAGGUGAUUUUUGUUCUCUCCAUGAACAUUUGAGUGCACAGAUGGCUCCUUGCUACCCUGAGCUUUGUAUCUAUAUUGGACUGUCACCUCUGAACCCUUGGGUCUCCCUUGCUUAGAACCCAAAACAAGAGGUCAUUGGGAGGCAGACCCUCCCCGCAGCUAGAAGCCUAGACAUCUAGCUGGUCCUAUUGAAGCCUUCCACAGGAAUUUUAGAUUCUAGGCUGGAUUCUAUUCAAUUUUUUUUUUUUCACCUUGGAUUAGAAAACACUACAUGUUAUGUGGUAACCCAGUAACAUUAACUUGUGUAUACUGGGACAGAGGCUCCAUGAAGCAGAACCACCAUGACAAUAUGGAGAAUGUUCUGAAAUGUUCUGUUGAUGAUGGUCUACUCUCACUGACUUGGAGUCUGAUGAUGGCUGACUGUGUCCUGAAAGCCAUAGCCUGAAGGGCAGCUUUGUUUGUUCCUGUCCCAGCCAGCAGGGCUGUGAGUCCAGGGUGUCCACAAGGAAAGGAAGCUCUGUGGGGUUUUGUUCUGAGUCCUUUAUGUCAUGAUGUGGUUGAUGCCCAAGCCUUCUGAGUACUGUUCUUCCCCGAGGGCCUGCAGGGUGGCUUGUUCCUCAUAUGAUGUUGCUAUCUGGAAUAAGGGCCAAGUAGGGCACCUGCUGCAUGUGCAGUCCCAUUACGGGGUUAGGCACACAGGAAGGCUCUAGAAGUGCUGUGCUAAAGUUGAACUAAGUUGAGGGAGUGCCUUCUCCUGAUUGUCGUUACUAUUUACUAAUGGUCUGCAGUAAGUCUUGCUCUUGGUAGGUGCUGAUGGUCAGGGGAAGCCUCAAUCACUAGAGACUGUGUGUGAAAAUACUCAUUGCUUUGUCUCUGAAGUUUUCUCACCCAGUGUCACUCUCUAGUGUGCGUGCUAUAUAGUAUGACUCCAGAGCCUUGCUCCUUUUGUGUCCUGCCACCUCCUCAAGCCACAUCUACACUUAAAAUUACUGGGUCUGCAUUCAAUUGUGUUCAUGUGGCCUACACAGUACACAGUGUGUCGGAGGUGUCCAGCCCCAGGGAUUAAGUGACUGUUUGAGCUACCUCCUCUUCUGUAUGGCUCCAUGGGUGCUCAGAGAUGGCUAUAGGGUGAGCAGACACCUGGAUGCCCUGCUGUCUACCCUUCUCCAACACUGCCUAUACACACAUAAUUCCUCUCAGAGCCUCAUGGUUCACUUCUAUAUCCUCAAGGCCUCCAUCCUGGGUUCAAGUCCUGGGCGGGACAAGGAUGUUUCUGUUUCCAAGGGUUCCUUUAGGUGCCAGUGGCCUAAAGCCACUUGUCCACUUGUUUUGCUGCACAGACUCCUCCCCUUAUUGCCCUGCAGGAGAGAGCUUCAUGAAGAAAGCUGGCCAGAGCACUUGUUUAGCCGUGGGCUGUCUGCCUCUCUGCUGUGGACUUGAAGAUCAGAGAAAUGGCCUGUCAGCUAUCUUCAUUUCCUAUGGAGUUUUGAGUGUUCUGACUAUCAAGGCUCUAGAUGCUAUAGGGGAGCUGAUCAGAGGUAGCUUAACUUUCCAAAAGAUUUCUCCCUUAUAUCUAAUGGCAGACUUAUUUCAGGAUGUGAGUGAGUUUUGUAACAAUAAUAUUGAGCUAGUCAAAAGACUUAGCAGAGUGAGAUAUAUAUAUAUAUAUAUAUAUAUAUAUAUAUAUAUAUAUAUAUAUGAUGAUGCUUUGAGAUGAAGAGCUGUCGCUCUGUGGGGUUUCUCCUUAUGGGGAAGGUUCAAGGAAGUGGAUGUCGGUGAUUUGGGUUUUCAUUACAUUCUGUACUAAGUUCAUUCAUGGGUUUCAUCUUCUGGCCUAUGGAUCUGCUCCAGGAUACCUUGAGGUUAGGUAACACAUUGGGGAGAGAGAGAUAGGGAGGGGAGGGGAGAGAGAAAAUCCUCCAUUGUCCUCUGGAAGCGUGCUGGCUAACUAGCCUUGAGUAUGGUAGAGAAAGCUGCAGCAGCACUAGCAUACAGCUUGUUUGAGUACAGGGCUUAUUGUUACCUCUUAGGUGCUGGACCAGAGAGGAUGCUGCUGACUCAGGGUAGGGGCUUGCAACAGAAAGUGCUUUUCUGACUACUCUUAGGAUCAGGAAUAUUUCUGGAUUCAGUGUAGGCAAGUCUACACUGGGAGUUAGCUGCCUUAGGCUCAUGCGUUCUUAACUUGCACCCCUGUUCUACCUGUUCCUGAUUUUCUUAGAAACAUGGGGAACCAGGUAGGAUAGUAGCUGAGGGUGCUCCUGAACCAUCGGUGGGUGAAAGCCUCAUUUCUAGGAGUCAUCCAGGUUGAGUAAGUUGGACACAGCUAGAAGUUGGUGCCAUGGCUUAUAGGUUCAAGUCAUUAGCCAUAGGUUCUCUAUGGGCAAGACUGUUAGGUGAAAUUUCCCCCACCCUAAGCUGUGAUCAGGUUUCUACCAUGCUCUUUGUUUUGAAUAAUGUCAUCUGCAAAGUGGAGGUGAGACUGCCUUCUCUUGGGGUUGUAUUAAGGAGGCAUGCCCCAUGGAAGAGCAAGAGUACCUCUGGGUCGCUGUUGGCAGCCUGGGGCUGCUCACAUGUAGCCCAGGGUCUCUCUGUAAGGAGGACUGGCUCACUGGGGGGGGGGGGGUCUGUCCUAUAGCUUCAGUUGUUUUCAUAGCUAACCUAAUGAUUAGGCUGGGCAAAGCUAGAUAAAAAAAUUUCUGGGAAUAGUGAAGGCUCAGCAGGAAAGAUUAUCCCUUCUGUCCACAUGUGUUAGAGAGAAAUGGAUGCUCACAUUGCUGUCUUGAAAGCCCAUGGCACUGGUGCAGCACCACAGAAAUGCAUUGCUUUGCAAUAAAAUAGUUGGACUCAGCCCUGAAAGUGUCUUGCUUAAUAUUUUGUUCAGUAUUUGAGGGGCCUGAGGGAGGAAACAAAGAAACAUUUCUUCUUGAAUUCUGUCCUCCCACUGUGGUGAGAACACCAGAAGGGCCUGGGAAAGCCAAGGGCCUUCACUGUCCACCCUACUCUUGAACAUAGUCACUGAUUGGGAUCAGGAUGGAACCUUAAGUCAUAGAAGAUGUGAAUUUGGACUCUAAGAUGUGGGAGGGCUAUGUGCAUAUAUCAGUCCUCAUAUUCUAUCCUCUUCUGCCGGGCCAGAGCCAACCUGGCAUCAGCUCCUGGCCUGUGACUGAGCAAAGUGGCUCACCAGCCUGUGGAUGUGCUGCCCAGAGUCCUAGAGUCAUUUGCAGCCAAGAGCAGAGGACAGGAGUUUAGUCACAACUGCAUACUCUUAGAGAAACCCAUACUUUGAUGGCUAUAGGUGUCCCCUGACCUGAGCAAAAGGGAGCAUGUUAUUAAGAUGGAGUCUGCAAGGCCCUAAAGAAGUGAAGGUAUGAAAGGCACGAAAAAUAACUCAGUAUUAAUAACAACAGAGCCCCUCCUUGCCAGCACUGUACUGUCUCUGAGAGAACAGUGGCUGCUCUGGAUGACAGAUAGGAAAGGGAUGCAUGAAGUACAAUGUGAACAUUGACAGGAAAAUCUUUGUUAAACUGUGAAGGCACAGGGAGAGGGCCUUCUACAAGCCAGGGGAAAGGUCUCAGAAGAAGCUGGGCAUCGCUGCUUAUUAUACCUUCAUGUCUCAUGAAGACACCGUAUGAGGAAAUAGAUGUCUUGUUUAAGCCCAAACAAGACAAAACAAAAUGCCCCCAAACAAAACAACAAACCAACAGGAAGACUCAUCUAUCCUGAAGGUCAGAAAUGGCCUCCCAAGGAAGUCACCCAGGGCUGAGACUUGGAUGAGGAGUCAUCUUCUAUGAAACAAAAAUUUUCUUUAAAAGGCACAUAAAUAUAAAGGUAAUAUAACAUUAAGCCAUAGUCAUUUGCACUCUUUUAUAGAACAAAUAUAGUUGUUAACAGUGAGGUCAGGUAGACUCUUCUAUGUGCAAUGCAGGCUGGAGAGCAGUUUGAUAGUCUUCACUUUCUGAUCCUGGUUGUCUUUUCUUGGCUUGGUGCUUUCUACACAGUCUAUAUGCACAGCUAUGUUGCUGGCACAGAACUUCUCUUUGAACCGACGUCAAUACAUGUAUCACUCGAAUGUCAGACUUUCAGCACAUAACAUGUCUCAAACUCAGAGUAUAAAAUGACAGUUUCAUCCUCUGGGUGGCUCAGCCAGUUACCUGAUGUCUUCAGUUUCUCCUUCGCUUCCCCACAACUAUCCAGGUCAUAGCUCCCCUGCUCCCUCUCUGCUCCAUGAGUGCAGCUAUCUGGGUCAUCUGCCCAGCCUGCAUCCCCUCCAGGAGCUGUCGGC
rnacentral:lncRNA from 1 species